GUGUCAGCAGCCGCGGUAAGACGGGGGAUGCAAGUGUUAUCCGGAAUCACUGGGCGUAAAGCGUCUGCAGGUGGUUUCCUAAGUCCACUGUUAAACCUUGAGGCUCAACCUCAAAUCUGCAUUGGAAACUAGGAGACUUGAGUAUAGUAGGGGUAGAGGGAAUUUCCAGUGGAGCGGUGAAAUGCGUAGAUAUUGGAAAGAACACCGAUGGCGAAGGCACUCUACUGGGCUAUUACUGACACUCAGAGACGAAAGCUAGGGGAGCAAAUGGGAUUAGAUACCCCAGUAGUCC
rnacentral:rRNA from 1 species